AGUGAACGCUGGCGGUAGGCCUAACACAUGCAAGUCGAACGGCAGCACAGUAAGAGCUUGCUCUUACGGGUGGCGAGUGGCGGACGGGUGAGGAAUACAUCCGAAUCUACUUUUUCGUGGGGGAUAACGUAGGGAAACUUACGCCAAUACCGCAUACGAUCUACGGGUGAAAGCAGGGGAUAUUCGGACCUUGCGCGAAUGAAUGAGCCGAUGUCGGAUUAGCUAGUUGGCGGGGUAAAGGCCCACCAAGGCGACGAUCCGUAGCUGGUCUGAGAGGAUGAUCAGCCACACUGGAACUGAGACACGGUCCAGACUCCUACGGGAGGCAGCAGUGGGGAAUAUUGGACAAUGGGCGCAAGCCUGAUCCAGCCAUACCGCGUGGGUGAAGAAGGCCUUCGGGUUGUAAAGCCCUUUUGUUGGGAAAGAAAAGCAGCAGGUUAAUACCCCGCUGUUCUGACGGUACCCAAAGAAUAAGCACCGGCUAACUUCGUG
rnacentral:rRNA from 1 species